UAACUCAUGAACAAAAUACACAGCUGUAACAACUAUGAAAAUGUAAACAACAAAGAUCGGGCCCCGGUUCCGGACCCAGCGUACCCGCCCUACCAUGAGACGAUCACCUCCACUCGUCUCCCUCAUUUUGGCCACCAAAUGGCCUAUAUUAGCCCGUGUCGGCCAUAAUGCCCACUCUCCCCAGCAAUAUUAUUUUAGCCGGACAUGAUUUCUUUCAAUAGCUGUUUAGGAUCUCAUGCAAGCGGAUAAUUCAUUAACUUCACAGAAUUAAUUUUUUUUAUUUUUUUACAACACUGAAUGGAACAGGCGACGAAACACUACAAGGAUAUUGCUAGUCGCCGCAAAAGAAACGCGCAAUGAGGCACUUUAGAGGCAAUCGUUGCCCCGAUUUAGGAACAAUGGCCCGCACAAUUACUUAAAACUGGAGCUCUCUGGGGGUGGUAAGGGGCGAUAUAAAUGCGUAAAUUCAAAUUAGGCGCAGAGGCGUCACCGUUGGAGUUUUCCUCACCGUUCGCACUCUAAAGUGAAGCUCGGCGUAAGUGCCUAUGGAGUGCAAUUAGGAGUCUUCUUCUGACUCUGCCAGGGGCUCGAACGAGGAUGGG